rnacentral:lncRNA from 1 species
GCAGAUCACCUGAGCCACCUCACUGCUCCCGGGACGGAGAACGUGGGAGAACCGGUUCCACGUGAUCAACCGGACUCAGUGAUCCACCGUAAACAGCUGAUUCAGGAUCAGACAGCAGAUCUCAGACCUCGGUCUCUUCACAUCCGAUCAAUCAAUAAUCAAUAAUCAAUAAUCCAUCACCAGAUCUCUCUCCCUCAUAGAAUCCAACUUGUCCUCGAUUACAUUCACGUGACAGCUUCAGUCACUUCUCUGAUUGAGACGAUCCAACAGGUAGAAACAGAUCAGAUCGGUGACACGUGACGUCACAGCGCCACCUGCCGGCCACAGACACACGGUGCAGCAGCUGACUGGGGAUCGAUCAGUUCUCAGGUCCACGCAGAGUCAGGUUGGUGGGAGGAGCCAGUCGCUGCGCUGGUGAACUGGAGAUGAACCACCAGAGAGAGUGGAGACCAGUGACUGUCGGGGUUGGAUGGAACCAGAUAUCAGUGGAUAAAGUUUGCACACAUCUGGAUUGUGGAUCUGCUGUUUCAACAAAAGUUACAGAUAAUUCUCCAUACAGACGUGUGUGGUGGAUCGAUAACGACUGUGUCCAGUCCAAAUCUGCACUCAGGGAAUGUGUGAAGCUGACUGAUCUUUAUAAAACCAAGAAAGGCCAUGAAGUGAUCUGCUCAGGUUUGCUGGUUCAGCCAAACGUCUCCGUCUCGCCAAUUGUUGGGGUCUCCGGGGCCGAGCAGCAGGGGUAUCAUGUGCUCCUGGGCUCCAGCUUCACCGUCACGUGUUCUACUGAACCACAGUACCAAGGAGGCUGCUUCCACCUUCUCUUCACCACCUCCGACACGGCACACAUCUACACCCUGCCGGCUGUCAAUCACUCCGCCCACUUCCUGUUCCCUGCUGCGCGCAGCGCCCACCGAGGGGACUACACAUGUGUUUACCACGCCUACGUUUUCUCCUAUAACUUCUCUUCCGAGAGCCGGCCUCUCCAUGUCAUUGUCUCAGGUAUCUUCCUGGAGAAUCUGUGUCAAACAUGAUCAAGAGAUUUCAAAACGAAAGGACACUUACGAGUCUUUCCUGAGCUUUCAACCACGUGUCACAGUCGACAUGAGCAGGCUCAUGGUUUCUGAAACGACACCACAUAACAUUAAUAUAACAUUAAAAUACUUCAGUUAUUCUUCUUCGUCCAUCAGAACAGAGUUUCCAGUUCCACCACACUACUUUGUGUAGUAUUCAGCACAAAAGUACAUAUAAUGAAUCUCUAGAUUAAAAUAAAUAAGCCUGCAAACUACUUUUAUACUUUCAUUGAACUAAAGUAAAGAAAAGGAAAAAGAAUCCUGAAGUAGAAUGUCACUCAGAAGAGCUCAUCGCUCCGCCAAGGCCCAACAGUUCCCUCAUGAAACACAUUUAAAUCAACAGGAUCUGGAUUUUAAUGUGGAUCUGAACCAAAUCUCACACACUUAUAGAAUCAGUCUCUGAAUAUUCCUGAUUUUGGGGGGCAAUCUGUGAAAAUGUAAAAAAACAAACAAAACAUUUCUAUCUUGCAAUGUUUGAGAAAGAAAUUUGAAAAAUCCUGGCUCCGCCCCUUUGUCCAGAUCCCCUGUAAAGUUUUAUGGAUUCUUUCUUGGUCCAUGUUCCAUCCUUCCAAAUUCACUGGGGGUGAAAACAUAACCUCCUUGGCCGAGGUUAAAAAGAAAAUGUCCUCAGAUAAUCUACCAACCUGCUCGUCCACAAAGUCAGUUUCCGUGUUUAUUCGUGUCAUACGCACGGAAUAGUUCACGUUGCGUUUGGUGUGAACGCAGCGCGACUCUCUUCAAACACUUCUCUCCAUUAACCAGGUAACAGUGUUGAUAAUCUGGUCUGUUUUUAUGUCCAAUGAAACACAUUAUAACUGUUGAGGCAGUUAAUACUAAUAAUAAAUAAGAUGAUGUCAUAGGAACAGAUGUGAUGAUUUCAAAUCUCUUCCAGCUUCUGUGACUGAUCUGAUCAUCAGAUGUGUCGUGGUGCUGCUGCUUCUGACGGUGUCGACCCUCAUCCUCUACUUCCACUUCAAGGUGACGGACACACACCCAGCGUCC